rnacentral:ncRNA from 2 species
CAUACCCCCGUGGGAGAGACCCCGCCACUAAAUCAGGGGCAUGUUCUGGUGAACAUGCGGAGCCGUUGGGCCCAUCGCUGCUCGGAUGGAUGCCGAUGGCAGGCCCCUGUUUUAGUGGCGGGGCGCCGACGGCGCAACCCGCCCGGAAUCGCUCAGGCAAAAGGACCGCGGGGAUCAG